rnacentral:rRNA from 1 species
CCUACGGGUGGCAGCAGUGAGGAAUAUUGGUCAAUGGGCGCGAGCCUGAACCAGCCAAGUAGCGUGAAGGAUGACUGCCCUACGGGUUGUAAACUUCUUUUAUAAAGGAAUAAAGUGAGGCACGUGUGCCUUUUUGUAUUUACUUUAUGAAUAAGGAUCGGCUAACUCCGUGCCAGCAGCCGCGGUAAUACGGAGGGUGCGAGCGUUAUCCGGAUUUAUUGGGUUUAAAGGGAGCGUAGAUGGGUUGUUAAGUCAGUUGUGAAAGUUUGCGGCUCAACCGUAAAACGGCAAUUGAUAAUGGCAGACUUGAGUACAGUAGAGGUAGGCGGAAUGCGUGGUGUAGCGGUGAAAUGCUUAGAUAGCACGAAGAACUCCGAUUGCGAAGGCAGCCUACUAAACUGCCACUGACAUUGAUGCUCGAAAGCGUGGGUAUCAAACAGGAUUAGAUACCCUAGUAGUC